CUACGGGUCGCAGCAGUGGGGAAUAUUGCACAAUGGGCGCAAGCCUGAUGCAGCCAUGCCGCGUGUAUGAAGAAGGCCUUCGGGUUGUAAAGUACUUUCAGCGGGGAGGAAGGGAGUAAAGUUAAUACCUUUGCUCAUUGACGUUACCCGCAGAAGAAGCACCGGCUAAGUCGUGCCAGCAGCCGCGGUAAUACGGAGGGUGCAAGCGUUAAUCGGAAUUACUGGGCGUAAAGCGCACGCAGGCGGUUUGUUAAGUCAGAUGUGAAAUCCCCGGGCUCAACCUGGGAACUGCAUCUGAUACUGGCAAGCUUGAGUCUCGUAGAGGGGGGUAGAAUUCCAGGUGUAGCGGUGAAAUGCGUAGAGAUCUGGAGGAAUACCGGUGGCGAAGGCGGCCCCCUGGACGAAGACUGACGCUCAGGUGCGAAAGCGUGGGGAGCAAACAGGAUUAGAUACCCGUGUAGUC
rnacentral:rRNA from 1 species